UACGGAGGGUGCAAGCGUUGUUCGGAUUUACUGGGCGUAAAGCGCGCGCAGGUGGGUGAACAAGUCGGAAGUGAAAUCUUGAGGCUCAACCUCGAGGCUGCUCCCGAAACUGUUCGCCUAGGGACUGGUAGAGGCUGGUAGAAUUCCCGGUGUAGCGGUGGAAUGCGUAGAGAUCGGGAAGAACAUCAGUGGCGAAGGCGGCCUGCUGGGCUGUUGCUGACGCUGAGGCGCGACAGCGUGGGGAGCAACAG
rnacentral:rRNA from 1 species